UACGUAGGGUGCAAGCGUUAAUCGGAAUUACUGGGCGUAAAGCGUGCGCAGGCGGUUUUGUAAGUCUGUCGUGAAAGCCCCGGGCUCAACCUGGGAAUUGCGAUGGAGACUGCAAGGCUUGAAUCUGGCAGAGGGGGGUAGAAUUCCACGUGUAGCAGUGAAAUGCGUAGAGAUGUGGAGGAACACCGGUGGCGAAGGCAGCCCCCUGGGUCAAGAUUGACGCUCAUGCACGAAAGCGUGGGGAGCAAACAGG
rnacentral:rRNA from 1 species